rnacentral:tRNA from 1 species
GGAGAGCUAGCUCAGCUGAUAGAGCACUUACCUAGCAUGCAAAAUGCAGUGGGAUCAAUGCCCACGUUCUCCA